rnacentral:lncRNA from 1 species
UGGUGAAGAUACAACAGGAGAGAAUACUGAGAGAAUAAUAUCUUGGAGGAUAUUGGAGGAAAUGGGGAGGGGCAUUGGAGGAAAAGAGAAGGGCCAAAGAAAGACCUCUCCUCCCCUGACCCCUGUUUCCAGGAUUUGGAGGCAGGUUUGAAACACUGGAUAAUACAAGCAAGAGGAAAUGUGAAGACAGAUCUAAGGGACUGGAAUGAAAGCUCCUGGAAGACAAAGAUCCUUUAUGUGACUUCGUGCUGCACAUGGUUAGUACUUUUUAUGUAUUUUUUGUAAAUCAGUGAGUGACAUUCUAGAACCUAAGAAUUCAUAUACACUUCCCAGACAUAAUGGUAGUCACUCAUAUAUGUUUGUCACCUUCUCUUGGUGACA